GCCACGGGGGAACGCCACUACGUUGCUUUCACUUGGUGUGCAGUCGCAUGAGCCGAAGGCAAACAUAGAUCCAUGUGAUGUGACGUAGUGGUACCCUCCCGUGU
rnacentral:pre_miRNA from 1 species